GAUGAAGAACGUAGCGAAAUGCGAUACGUAGUGUGAAUUGCAGAAUUCAGUGAAUCAUCGAAUCUUUGAACGCACAUUGCGCCCUUUGGUAUUCCAAAGGGCAUGCCUGUUCGAGCGUCAUUUGUACCUUCAAGCUUUGCUUGGUGUUGGGCGUCUUUUUGUCUCUCCUUUGCGGGAGACUCGCCUUAAAACGAUUGGCAGCCGGCCUACUGGUUUCGGAGCGCAGCACAUUUUUUGCGCUUUGCAUCAGGAGAAAAGGACGGUACUCCAUCAAGACGUUUACAUUUUUCACUUUUGACCUCGGAUCAGGUAGGGAUACCCGCUGAACUUAAGCAUAUCAAUAAGCGGAGGA
rnacentral:misc_RNA from 1 species